UGGCGAGAAGGUCACACCCGUUCCCAUCCCGAACACGGUAGUUAAGCUUCUCUGCGCCAAUGGUAGUUGGGGGUUUCUCCCUGCGAGAGUAGGUCGCUGCCGGGC
rnacentral:rRNA from 1 species